rnacentral:snoRNA from 1 species
CCUUUCCAAAUCCCUUGGCCUUCAGAUCUAAGUAAUGGUCUGAGAGGUUAAAAAAGGAGGAAAACUAAGACCGAAGUGGACUUAGAGUCUUGGUGGUAUACAAGUUCCUUUCAAGCAUAU